CCACCCACCCUUCCUCCCUCCAUCCCCUCCCUUUUCUCUCCACAGCCGACGCCUAGGACUUACACCCAUAAAAAUGGCGCCCUUCUCCUCAGAUCCCACAGAGCCCCCGUCUCUUCCCACAGCCAGCGCCCUCGUUUCCCUCACCUACGUCAGAACCCCCGCCGGUAUGGCCUCAUUUUGGCUCUUCUCCGACGCUAAGCACAACGACAGCAGCUCUCCCACUGCGUAUUCCAUCACAUGGUCCGAGAUGGGUUGAGGUUCCGAGAUGGGUUUUUGAUUGGAAGGGUCCGAUUGAGAUUUGGAUCGGGUGAAAGUGAGAGAGAGAGAUGAACGAAGUUGGGAGACAAGGGCAAAGAUCUGGUGCGGCGGGGGUGCACCACCAGCGACAAUACUCUGAUAAUUUCUUGGAGACUUCGUCCAACGAAAGGUGGCUCCAGUUAACUGGUCUUCAACACCUUCAGUUUUCCAACUCAUCUGGUUCUCCUCCUCAUGUAUUUUUUUUGCUUUCAUCCGAAUUUAAUCAAAACAUUGUACCAAAUCUGAAAUUUGGGUGCAUUGUAAUCAACAUUUAUUGUUUUUUCCCUUGAAUUUUUUAAUUUUUAAACUUUUUUGGGUAUAUUCUGAUCAAACCCAUAUGAGAUUUUGAUUAAAAUGUUGAAGCUUUGAUCUUUGUAAAUCUUAUGGUAUACUUUUGUAUCUAAAAUGUAGAAGCCUGGAUUGGAUUUUUUGGGGUUCUGUCAACGAAGGAGAAGGGGUGGGGAAGGUGAGGUAGGCGACGGCUCUAUGGGAUCUGAGGAGGAGGGCGCCAUUUUUAUGGGUGUGAGUUCUUCUGGGUGUUAGUUGUGGAAAGGGAUUGUGAGGGAGGGAGGGAUGGAGGGUGG
rnacentral:lncRNA from 1 species